GUAACCGUACUUGGCAAGAUAGUGCCAGGAGUGAUAGAAUCAUUAUUUUCGGGGUUAAAUCCUAACUGUACGUCGACAGAUGGCGAAAAUGAGCCAAUCCCAGAGUCCUUUAUUACUUUCAUCUGCUCCAAUCUUUGUAAAAGAAGCAAUUUUUGAUAAUCUUCCCACUGUUGCUUAAGCAUGUAAAGGAACACCGGAUUCGUGUAGUCGAUCUCCUUUUUAUGAAAUUUAGAGCGUACUUCCGGUAAAUUAAUUUGUGAUAAAACCUGUAACCGUUCUAUUUCUGGGGAAGUUUCACUUGGGUUUUCUAAUAAUUUAGCCUGAAGCUUUUUGUGAACUUUCUCCGAGUAUUCCUGUAUUAACUUUACAGAAGAGCGAUAUGCAUUUUCCUGAGCAGCACUGUAAAUACUGCGAGCCCUACAGACAUUCGAAAUCGUAGGAAUUCUAGGCCAUACGCGUUUCAUCCUUGCAAUGGUAAAAGCUAAGUAAUUAACGGUAUGGAUGUGUAUAGGAAUAGAAUAACACAAGAGGGUAUAGCGCAGUGUAAGGAAUGCUAAUGCACAGCUUUUUCGAUAUUUACGGUUAUACAAAAUAAAAUUAGAAAUGGAAACUGUGGAUGUUAAACAUGU